CGAGUCGGCCGGGUGAUCGCAGCGCAAGCUGAGGAAAGUCCGGACUCCACAGGGCAGGGUGGUGGGUAACACCCACCCGGGGUGACCCGCGGGACAGUGCCACAGAGAACAGACCGCCGCCGGUGACGGCGGUAAGGGUGAAACGGCGGUGUAAGAGACCACCAGCACCCCAGGUGACUGGGGUGGCUAGGCAAACCCCACCCGGAGCAAGACCAAGAAGGGCCCCCGUCUUCGGACGAGAGCCCGCGGACGCCGUUCGAGCGCUGCCCGCGCGAGGCGUCCGGGUAGGUUGCACGCCCACGGGCGAAGGCGGCUGGCAACAGCCGUCGCAGAUGGAUGAUCACCGGCCCUCGGGCCACAGAAUCCGGCUUACAGGCCGGCUCGUCCC
rnacentral:RNase_P_RNA from 1 species